UCCAAAAAAAGCCGAUGCCAGUAUACAGGAAAUGAUAGCAAGGUUCAAAGAAAGAGCUGAACAGGAAAAGAACACGACUUUUGAAACGUUCAACGCUGUCAGCUAUGAAACACAAGUUGUCAAUGGGACAAAUUAUUCAGUGAAAAUUGAUAUUGGUAAUGGCCAAUUCAUCUGGAUGAAGCUGUAUAAGCCUUUACAAGGAGAUGCAGAGUUCGUGGCUAUUGAAGAAGAAUUUCCCAGGAAUGAAUAAUAACAUGCAGGACUAUUAUUCAUAUGAUUGAACUGAAUAAUAAUGACGAAAUAAAAAUACUAUAAAUAAAACAUUGAUAUUCCCAGCACCGUUAUGCCGUAUUAUUUUACCUUUACUGUAUUUACUCUAAUAUAUAGAUUUAAUACCAUAAUAUUUCCUAUUUUUCUAUUCUGAGGACUGCUCCCUGAAAAUCAUGGCUAUUCCCUGGGACUAUUCCCUCAUGAAUAUUUUUUUUUUUACAUUUUUAACAAAUAAAAAUCAACAUUGGGCGGAGCGUUCAAGAAAUCUCGAGUUUCUGAAGUAAUGUCAUAUCCAAUGUACAUAUUGUAACUAUGAUGUUAAAAUAUGUUGCCAUGCAAUGUCAAAAUCAUUACUUGAUUUCUAGCAAAAUGAAGACAAUGAUAAUUCUUCGAAAUGCAAGUAAAACUAUUUUU